CUCGCAGCCUCGCUCCACCGCCUACCCUCUCUCUCCCUCCACUGCCUACCCUCUCUCUCUACAGCCCCAGGCCUUUGAUGAACUCAUACAGAGGGUUUCUAAGCUGGUUUCUUAAGACACCCAGAAUCCAAAACAGGAUGAUCUCAACACUUCGAUUCAUGGGUCUUUCAGGAAAUCUAGCUUCUCUUGAGAUUCGAAGAAGAUUUGGGGGAUUUACUAUCAAAAGUGCAGAAGAUUUUGGCAAUUCUAUUGUCGUUAUUGCUGCUGUUGCUAUCGGAUGCCUUGGAUUUGGGCUUUGGUCAUUAUGUGAAGGGUUCAUGGAUGAAGGCUCUCCUUGUUUCUCUCCUUCUACGGCUUUCAUGUUUGUACACAGCAGUUUCUAUUUUGUACCAAGGAAUUAAGAUGCUAAGGAAGAAAAGAAGCCACAAGGGUCUUGAUUCAUAUGAAGGAAAGUCCCUGAAGCUGCUCUCUGUUAUGGAUGCAAUCCGUUUGGAUGACAAGGAUGAUAAAAUCGAGACUACUCUCUCACUUGCUUUAGCAGAGUCGGCGAAUGGCAAUGUUACUAACAGGAGCAUCAUUUCAUCUGACCCACUGGCUUCAAGCACUUGGGAAGAGGUGACAUUUGUAGCUUUUGAAACUCUUUCUUGAUGUGUUUGGCCCAUGAACUUUCUUAUUGAUCACAAAUACUUAGUAUGAAGAAGGAUAUUUCACAAUAAGGAAUGAAAAACAGCAAAGGUUUUGAUCUGUAGAGGUUUGUUGAUCCCACGUGCUUAUGUGUGUAGCCUUGCCCCUCUACAUGUCUAAACAUGUGUAUGGUGCACAUGUUGUGAACAUCCAAGUUGUCCAUCAUUCCAUCCCCUAUAGAGAGCUUUAUCGUGUUUCCAUGAUCUCUGUAUAGGUGGGGACUGUUUUGAAAUGUUACUUACAACUGACUUCGGCUGUUCUACAAGUUAUCCCAUAUGUAAAGUCUUUACAAGGGUUUCUCCUAAACAGAAGGAGCUUAUCAUGACCACUUUUAAGACAGUGGGAAGGAUGGUAUUGAUGUGUGGAGAUGGGACCAAUGAUGUUGGGGCUCUGAAGCAGGUAUUAAUGCCCCUCUUUCACAUAGCUAUUUUUCUCUUAUUAUCCAUUAAUUUGUAGGCUGCUGAUUGAGCCCAUUUGUUUGAAAUCUGAACCACAGUUUGUUGGCCCAUUUA